UAUAUUAUUCAUUUGAUUAAUUCUUUGUUGUAGCAAUCCUGUCCUAAUUUUUCAAGAGUUAUGGUGUUUUCGCGUCCUGUCCUAUAUUGUCUGUUUCAGUGUCUGUGUCAGUGUCAAUCAGUGUCUUUGUCCACUCUCUCUAAUAUUUUAGAAUGCGUGUGGUGAUGAUGGUGUUUUAUCAUGGUUCAUGUACCAAAAGCUUCUUGAGCUAGUGGAGUUCAAGCUGAAGGAAGUGAUUUCGAGGGAACCUACUAUACUUAUUUUCAUGAUUGGCGUUCCUAACGUCCAAUGCAGUAGAAGAUGAUGUGUGCUACUGUCAUCCCACUGCCUGGUGUUACUCAAGAUAUUGCUGGAUACAAGAUAUAGUUGAUGUUGCUUUUAUGAGAAGCAAACUGAUUGCAAGGAAUUUAUUUCUGACGUGUUAUGUUAUCUGACCAC